GCCGCGUUGGCGUAGUGGUAGCGCGUCGCACUUGUAUCACAUGCCAAUGCGAAGGUCACUCGUUCAAUCCGGGUACGUGGCA